rnacentral:rRNA from 1 species
UGAGGGAAAGUUGCAAAGAACUUUGAAGAGAGAGUUCAAGAGUACGUGAAACUGCUCGGAAGGAAACGGGUGGAUCUUCGAAGUCCGAGCGGAGCGGGAUUCAGUGGCGGGCGGCGAGGGGUGAUUGAACUUCGUACUCCCUCGCGGGGACGAGGGGCGAGCACCGUUCUCCCGUCAGCCGCGCACUUCUCGCUCCCGGUGGACGCCGCAGCCGGUCUGGCGUCGGCAGAGAGGACUGGCCGGGCGAUGGCGUGGGCGUCGAUCAUGCAUCGGCGUCCCGAUUCUGUACCGGUCGUGUUCCCGGUGCGACGCCGGUCCGAGGGAAAGAGUCCGGACUAGUUCCGGACGUGCCGCGGUCUCGCCAUGAGAAUGGCAGAGCGGGAGAGUGGUCCGGUCCUACCGGCCGUGUUGCCCACCACGAGCGUGAGCGACCGGAAAAAGGUGAGCCGUAAGAUCGCGACCUAGCCCGCUAAGGCGAACCGAGGGCUUGCGGCGAGUAGGUCGGUAUUCCACCCGACCCGUCUUGAAACACGGACCAAGGAGUCUAACUUGUGCGCGAGUCAGUGGGACUCGAUUAAGCCCACGGGCGCAAUGAGAGUGAAUUUUUGUGUCGUGAUCCCGCGCUUCGGCGUGGGCGCAGCGACGGCCCGACUAAAAAGUUGUCCAGCGAUGCUGGCGCCGGUCGGAGCCCGAGCGUACAGGUUGGUACCCGAAAGAUGGUGAACUAUGCCCGGGCAGGUUGAAGCUAGAGGAAACUCUGGUGGAGGACCGCAGCGGUUCUGACGUGCAAAUCGAUCGUCGAACCUGGG